ACCGGAGUACAGGCCAGAUGUGUGGGUGAGAAGAUUCACCAGAGACAGAGCAGGGAACAGAACAGGCAGAAUGACUGAAAUACACUGCUGACGGGAGCAGCAGGCGAGACUGCUUUGGGGCGAUACAGAACGCAGCAUCACUGCCUUGAAGAGAAGGACCCGACAGCCACCCGUGCGCCCAGGCACCAAGCUGACGUGGACACCACCUGCCAGGUGCCCGUGUCAUCACAUCACCGUCACCCAUGGGGUCUGACGACACAGCAGCAGCGGCACCAGCAGCCCCGUCUCCAGACCGAGCAGGGAAGAAAGCAGACGCACCGGGUUUUGUCAUAUCAAAAUAGAGCAAUUUAUUCCAGACAUU